GAAAGGCAGGUGGGAAGGAAGGAAAACACAAAAAAAAAGCAUGUCAAUUUCUGUGAGCAAUCAUGUUCCACUGCAAUAGUCAGAAGUCCUAUUCUCUGCUGUACUUUGCCUUUUUUUUAAGUCACCCUAUAUUCUGAUUGGGAUUGAGAUUCUAACAUCUCAGUGGAAUAAACUUAUUUAUUUGUUGUUAGGGGACACGUGUACUAAAUCAGCAGUACUCAUUAAACCACUGGCCCAUGUGUAUCAGUUUCCUGGAUCUAAAUUUUGUACACAGAGAGAAAAAUUUUUUUGCCAAAAUGCAGAAUAUUUACCUGCCUUUCUCUAAUUGGUUGUUACAUUAACAUAUGAGCUCUGAUGUAACCUUGUAUCUAUAAUUAUGGGAUGGUCACAGGUGCAUAAAUUAACUUUUUUCAAUGGAAUAGUAAAGGAUGAUUGAUACUUCUGUAUUACGGAUUGAUUGAGAUACUCUCAGUCACACACAUGUCUAUAUUCCCUUAUGGUGCAUCCCCAUAAAGGAAUAUUAGACUCCUUCAGUCACUAGAUCUUCUGUGAGUAUGUGUACUCCAGAAGCUGGAGUGAACCCACUGUGCCCUCUGGACUAGACGUUUGGGUGUCCUUAAAGGAAACCCAGGGCACAGCAUAUCCAGAAGGUCCCAGGCCUGGGCAGCUAGGAUCCUCCAGAUUCAGCUACAAGAUAUGAAGUGAUGGUUAACAUUUUCUCCCAGAUGCCAUCAGUAGAGGUGGUGCAUUCCUUCAAGCCUACAACACUGGAACUCUGUCACCUUGAGGUAGCCUGCAGUUCAGGGUUACCAGUCAAGGAGAAUGAGCUGCAAGGAAGGAGGGCAAGAUCAGAAAUUCCCAGCAGAGAAUUGUAUUCUCUAGGCUGUAAAUUUCUUCUGUUUCUCAAAGGAGGAAAAGAGAAGUUGCAUAACAUUUUAUAAGACACUUUAGAAAAUCAUUACUACAUAUUUGAAAGGAAAACAGCACAUGGAAUUUUCAUGAACUAUAAUGUAUAUCUGGCACUUAAAACAUUUUAAGGGAUUUAUAUUUUCAAAAAGGGCUUUGAUUCUGUGGUCACAUAAGUGACCCAAAGUUACUGUUCUGCCAAGCCAAAUUCUUUUCACUUAUGGGAUUUAACAGAUUAAAUUAAAACAGUGGAAAAGAAAAUAAUUAAUAACACGUUUUAGUCAUGCUUUAAACCAAAAAUAGCUUUUUCUUUUUUAACUGCACAACUAUAGCAUAGAAUAAGAGAACUAAAAUCCAAAAUCACGCUGUAUGAUAAUACCCUUUCCACUUGCAUAUUUCAGUCACAGUCCAGUGAUGAGUUCCAUCAAGAAAGCCUGGAGAUCUUAAACAGGGAGGAAUGGAAGACAGAAUUUCAAGCCCUUAUCUUUCAACUGCAUAAAAAGUUGAUCACUGUUUCUUGGAAACCUCUAGAAGAUCACUGGCCUGGCAUUCAGAGCACUUAGGGAAGAGUUGUCACCAAAAAUACAAAGCAGACACAUCUAUGACAUCUAGUAAAAUAUUUAAACGGAAGUGUGAAAAGGUACUAACUUAUUUCUACGUAAGAUCUAGAUAGUACAACAAAGUCCAUGCUCUGUAACAUUUUUAUUCUUGUUAAAAAUUUAAAAGGCAAGCUUCUAAUGUCUGAGCACUAAGUUAAGUUGUAGUCAGUCUGUAAAACAG